AUGGGUUUUGUUUCUGGUUUCAGGAGCGAGAGGCGUGACCAAGGCCUUACGGUGCUAGUGGACACCAGGAGACAGCAGCCCAGUCCUGCUCUGUUCUCUUCUCUGUCUGGACUGCAGGCUUUAUCACCAAAUGCACUUUCCUCCGUCCUGCUACUUGUGGACAAGGAGACAACUAUCAAGCCUGAAAGAGACGUUACUACUGUGCAGGUAAAGUAUUAAAUAAUGACCCAUUUGCUGUGAUAUUUGCAUUGAGCGUUCUUGUCUAAUUCAAGACUUCAAAUCACAUAUCUUGGGAGUAUUUCUUACAUGCCCACGACAACCAGAAUCCUAACAUUUUCCACACGCAGUGAUUAACACAAUGUAACACCAGGAAGGAUACAGCAUUAUCACAGGCGCCUCCUAGUCUAUUCAGAUACACCGAGGCUAUUGUGUUGAGUCGUCGCUAGCAGCCUGUUAAUGUCAGGUCCUUGACCUGAGUAUGAGUCUGAGUGAGGCAGUACGUGUGUGUGCAUGUGUGUGUGUGUUUAGCGUGUAGCGUGUCAGGUCAUGGUGUGUUGUUGAGAGCUGGGGUAUCUGUGCUAUGUAGGUUUGCGUGAAGCUGCAUGUCUGACUGUGGAAAAUGUAAUAAUCUCUUCAUCACCAGCCUACCUACCUACCUACCACACACACACACACACACACACACACACACACACACACACGUCUGUCCCACUGAAAACAUACUGAAAACACCCACAACAUCCAUCACACAGACAGACACAUCUAAUGAGAUCAGGGUUUAGGUCCAACAUCCAUCACACAGAAAGACACAUCUAAUGAGAUCAGGGUUUAGGUCCAACAUCCAUCACACAGAAAAACACAUCUAAUGAGAUCAGGGUUAAGGUCCAACAUCCAUCACACAGACAGACACAUCUAAUGAGAUCAGGGUUUAGGUCCAACAUCCAUCACACAGACAGACACAUCUAAUGAGAUCAGGGUUUAGGUCCAACAUCCAUCACACAGAAAGACACAUCUAAUGAGAUCAGGGUUUAGGUCCAACAUCCAUCACACAGUCAGACACAUCUAAUGAGAUCAGGGUUUAGGUCCAACAUCCAUCACACAGACAGACACAUCUAAUGAGAUCAGGGUUUAGGUCCAACAUCCAUCACACAGUCAGACACAUCUAAUGAGAUCAGGGUUUAGGUCCAACAUCCAUCACACAGACAGACACAUCUAAUGAGAUCAGGGUUUAGGUCCAACAUCCGUCACACAGACAGACACAUCUAAUGAGAUCAGGGUUUAGGUCCAACAUCCAUCACACAGACAGACACAUCUAAUGAGAUCAGGGUUAAGGUCCAACAUCCAUCACACAGUCAGACACAUCUAAUGAGAUCAGGGUUUAGGUCCAACAUCCAUCACACAGACAGACACAUCUAAUGAGAUCAGGGUUUAGGUCCAACAUCCAUCACACAGACAGACACAUCUAAUGAGAUCAGGGUUUAGGUCCAACAUCCAUCACACAGAAAAACACAUCUAAUGAGAUCAGGGUUUAGGUCCAACGUUGAGUUAAGUGAUUAUCACUGGAAUUCCUCCAUAGGUUUCUACAGUAGAGUUCAACACAUGUCUCUUCCUAUUGAAACUACAUGACACGUGGAUAAAAGGAUGUGAUUGGUUAGUUGUCUUGAUGAAACCUGCAACAUAGCGAUGUAUAUUACAGACCAUUCUGUCUCUCAUGAUGAUUUUUCUUAGUUACAUUUCUUUACUUACAUCAUCAAGGUUACCUGU
ensembl:lncRNA